rnacentral:antisense_RNA from 1 species
GCAUGUGAGAACUUUUGGCUGAUGAAUACAAGAUACGCUCAUUCAUUCUCUUCAUUGCUAUGAAAUCAGUUUUUCCACAACCUCCUGCAGAACCUCAACACAUCACUAGGUGGCAACAUGCCUACACCAUAUCGGUUUAGAAACCACGGUUAGGAGGAGCAGCAAAACACGCGGCAUCCCAGUAUGAUUCAGAAGUAAAGUUUACAAUCUUUGAGGCCUGGCUGACUCAUGGAACAACUAGGACAAGAAACAAAGACAAAGAACACACACCUGACUGGACAGAGAUAAACCAAGAGCUGACAGUUUUGGAAACAAGGCUGGAGCUGAGGAAAAGGACUGGGAACACGAACCUGUACAAACAACAAAUUCUUACAACAGAAAACAAGCCACUCCUGGCCGUCAAGAAACCCACCAAUCUCAGAAGCAAAAGCAAAACAAAUGAAAAUACAAACCAAAUAGUCUCUAUUACCUUCAUGCCUGUUGGGUCCCAAUAAAGGAAUAAUUCCAAUAAA